UAGGGAAUCUUCCACAAUGGACGCAAGUCUGAUGGAGCAACGCCGCGUGAGUGAAGAAGGUUUUCGGAUCGUAAAGCUCUGUUGUUGGUGAAGAAGGAUAGAGGCAGUAACUGGUCUUUAUUUGACGGUAAUCAACCAGAAAGUCACGGCUAACUACGUGCCAGCAGCCGCGGUAAUACGUAGGUGGCAAGCGUUGUCCGGAUUUAUUGGGCGUAAAGCGAGCGCAGGCGGAAUGAUAAGUCUGAUGUGAAAGCCCACGGCUCAACCGUGGAACUGCAUCGGAAACUGUCAUUCUUGAGUGCAGAAGAGGAGAGUGGAAUUCCAUGUGUAGCGGUGGAAUGCGUAGAUAUAUGGAAGAACACCAGUGGCGAAGGCGGCUCUCUGGUCUGCAACUGACGCUGAGGCUCGAAAGCAUGGGUAGCGA
rnacentral:rRNA from 1 species